AAUGCAAAUAUUGAAUCAUUGGCUCCAUAGAGAAUAGCAACAGUGAGAAAGAAAGAGAGAGAGAGGGGAGAAAAAAGAGAAGAUAAAUUCCCCUUAUGAAUGACAGAGACAACAAUUAAACAGAGAGAGAGAGAGAGAGAGAGAGAGAGAGAGAGAGAGAGAGAGAGAGAGAGAAUGUGGGACAGGUUUGAAAAAGAGGAACAAGAGAGAAGAAUAUCGAAUAGAGUGAGAUGGAGUAGAAGCAGUACGAGAGAGAGAGAGAGAGAAAUUCUGUGUUCUGAAACAAACGUUCGAUCAGAGUGCCGAUUGUUGCCAAUCAUACGUUGCCGCGGCAUGCCCCUCUGUCCGCGGCUUCAGUUCUGUGUUUUUCCGCGGUGAAGCAACGACGUAUCGUAAAACCUCUCUUCUUGUCUAAAUCCGCAAGGCUUCUUGAAACAACCCUUUUUACGAAGAAAAAAAAAAAAAAAAAAAAAAAAAUCAAAACUGAUUCAUGAUCCAUCUAUGUGAGGGUUGAUGAUACAUCGACUAGUAUUUAGUGUGCGUGUGUUCAGGUCGGUGCGUGUGUUUUUGUGGAAAAUGUCGACGCUGCCGGUGGCAUUCAAUGAUUGAUGACGACGGCGCGCUAGACGCAGAGUGCGCGUGAGGCUCUAACACGCGAGCCCGCAGGGCCUGUGUCGUUGCGCUUGUUCUAUCCCAAAUGUAUGUGUGGCACCAACAAUCAUCAGCGUCAUCAUCUAUACUGUCGAUGAGUUGCUAAUUUCAAAGAAGAGUAAGAUUACUAGAUCUAUGAUCCAAAAUUGAUUCGCGAUGGGUCAUUAAAAUUUUCAUGCAUAAUCAGUGAAGAAAGAACAGGCAAUAGAUGAUCCACAACCAAAUAUAAUAGAUAUUAAAUAACAUUAAAUAAUUGAUCGAAAAUCAAAUUAUGAAAAUUAUGAAUUAUAAACUGAGAAAAAUAUGCUAUUGAAUCAACAGAAUUUAUGCCAAAGUUUACAGAUUAUGAAUACCAUUUUAAAGAGCAAUGGCAUAAAUUAAAAAUAGAAUUUUUAUUUCUUUUGCCUCAAUUUCAAUUAUGUCAUAUUGGAUGUACCGGAUAUCAACUUGAGUAUUCGGUGAAUGGUUGAUGACUGUGAAACACAUGGGUACCAGACGACUUAUACUAUAAAGCGACAUCUGCAUCAAGCUUUGACUUUGAAGCCCCUCAUUAUCCUAAUGUACGUCCUGAUUUCACCAUCAGCCUUCCAUAUAUAUAUAUAUUAUAUACUAUAAUUAUUUCCUCUAAUCCUUUACUUCCCCCUCACAACUAACUUUUUUUAUCAUUCAUAUUUAACCUCAGCCUGAGAAACAAUAUCGUUCAAAAAAUUAAUUGUACACCUAUUUGUCUAAACUUAAUAAAAAAAUUUAUCUUUC